CAAUCAGUUUUGCCAUCUUUC
rnacentral:siRNA from 1 species